rnacentral:rRNA from 1 species
CCUACGGGUGGCUGCAGUGGGGAAUUUUGCGCAAUGGACGAAAGUCUGACGCAGCAACGCCGCGUGAGGGAUGAAGGUCUUCGGAUUGUAAACCUCUGUUGGAUGGGAAAAAAAGGUAGCAAUACUUUGAUGGUACCAUUUGAGGAAGCACCGGCUAACUACGUGCCAGCAGCCGCGGUAAUACGUAGGGUGCAAGCGUUGUUCGGAAUCACUGGGCGUAAAGAGAGCGUAGGCGGGAUUGUAAGUUAGAAGUUUAAUACAAGGGCUUAACCCUUGACCGGCUUUUAAUACUGCAGUUCUUGAAUGUGGGAGAGGGCGAUGGAAUUCCAGGUGUAGCGGUGGAAUGCGUAGAUAUCUGGAAGAACACCAGUAGCGAAGGCGGUCGCCUGGCCUAACAUUGACGCUGAGGCUCGAAAGCUUGGGGAGCAAACAGGCUUAGAUACCCCAGUAGUC